CCUACGGGAGGCAGCAGUGGGGGAUAUUGCACAAUGGGGGAAACCCUGAUGCAGCGACGCCGCGUGUGGGAAGACGGUCCUCUGGAUUGUAAACCACUGUCCUCAGGGACGAAGAUGACGGUACCUGGGGAGGAAGCUCCGGCUAACUACGUGCCAGCAGCCGCGGUAAUACGUAGGGAGCGAGGGUUGUCCGGAAUUACUGGGUGUAAGGGGAGCGUAGGCGGGACUGCAAGUUGGGUGUCAAAUCUACCGGCUCAACCGGUAGCCGCACUCAAAACUGCAGUUCUUGAGUGAAGUAGAGGCAGGCGGAAUUCCUGGUGUAGCGGUGAAAUGCGUAGAUAUUAGGAGGAACACCAGUGGCGAAGGCGGCCUGCUGGGCUUUUACUGACGCUGAGGCUCGAAAGUGUGGGGAGCAAACAGGAUUAGAUACCCCAGUAGUC
rnacentral:rRNA from 1 species